AAAUGAUUGAAAGUUAAUUUUGGCCUUAAUUAGCAGAACUUCUUAACCUGCAACAGCAUUUACCGAAAGGAAUUCGAACGCUCAUGAGAAUCAGAAAAACCAUCCAUGGGUUAACGUGUGGAAACGUGAUAUAGGCCGUUAGAUCUUCUUGUAAACCCAAGAUCCCUCUUAUCUUCCCUGCUUAGCAGUUAGCAGACCUACAUGGGGUUCCCCAGUUUAUCUCCCUUCCAACAAUCUGAUAAAACUAGGUAAGGUACCCACCUUUUAUUUUUGUUUACAACUUGUCCAAAGUUUUCUAUAAUUGAUAGCUGAAACCCAAAUGAUAAACUCAUUGCAUUAAUAGGAAUUCUUAGAUUUUAUUGGUCGAAAGUGACUGGCUUACUGCUGCUGCUGUUGUUGUUCUGUAGAGAAAUGGCUACUUUUCUGUUGUUUGUAAUAAUAGGUUAUUACUUUGUAAAGAGAACUUAAGAGUUCAUAGUGGAAAGGCCAAGCCUUUGAGGAGAUAUAUAAGUGAUAGUUAUAAUUAGUUUUUUAUCAGCUUAGUGGGAAUUUACACUAUUAACAAUUCCCAACCUUUUAUGCUAUCUAGGAAUGAGUUUAGGCCACUUCAUAAUGGAAAAGUGAAGUCCCUUUGUCGGUUUUUGUGUUUCUUGUAAAUCUCAACAUGGGUCAUCUUGUCAUAAUAUUUUUAGGCCAUUGGUGAGUAGAGACAGCGGAAAUGAACAAGUACAUAUGAGAAAAAGGGUUGCCUCUGGUUUGAAAAAGAGGUUUUCAUUGAGAUUGCGACCAAGAUUGCAGUUGUUGACGAUAAGAUUGAAGAGAGUUUUAGUGAGGUCAAUGUGAAAUGAUUUUGGAUUGUUCUUGAGAAAGAACAUAAAGAUAUUGACUCUUUAUUAUUCAAUUUCUCUUGCAUUGGGGAUGUGCUACUUGUUCUUGAGGUUAACUGCAUUGCCAUCUCCAAAGAUUGUUCCAUAUUCGGAUUUAGUAACAAGCCUUCAAAAUGGUUCUGUUACAAAAGUUUUACUCAAAGAGAGAUCUCUUUGUAUAUGCUAAAACACAAAAUCACAUGGCAUUGAAAAUACUCAAGAUACAGAAGAAAAAUCACCAGUAAUAGAUGUUUAUGAGAAUGCAGCUGAUGCAGCUGCAAGAGGAGCUAUUCUGACUUCUGAGUACUACUGGCAACAAAUCAAAAGUAGAUAUAUUGAGGAAGUUUUCACGGCCUCAAGCUUCUACUCCUGAAUGGCAGUUUUCUACUAGGAAAAUAGACCAUGAUAAGAAAUUUCUUCUUAGUUUGAUGAGAGAAAAGGGUUGUAUAGUUCAGCCACCCAAUCAGUUUUGAUGUCAAUGAGGAAUACAUUGAUAACUAUAAUAUCUCUCUGGAUUCCUUUAACUCCUUUGACGUGGCUCCUGUUUCAUCAACUUUCUGCUGCUAACAGCCCUACAAGAAAGUGGCAACCUAAUAAUUAGAUGGUCACUUCUGAUGAUGUGGAGGGUUUGAUGCUGCUAAGGAAGAGCUUAUGGAGGUAAAUCACAUCUUCUCUUCAAGUUAUGUUGGAUAAUAAACUAUUUUAUUGUUGAGACAUUGCUGCAUUAGUGGCUCAAUGAUGGAGUUGUUGAGAGUCAUAUGUGACAUAUUAUAAGCCUCAUUGAAAAUUUUAUAUGCUUAUCAAAAGUUUGAAAUCUUCAUGCUUCAGAAAAUAGCAUUAAUAUAUUUUUGGGCUAAUAAUUAUGUGAGAGACUGCUUCUUGUUCUGUGGAUGGAACAUUUGGCUAAAGCUGGAAGGUGCAUCUAUUUUUUCCUCUAGAAAUCUCUUUCAGUCAAAACUAAAGAACUUAUCUAAUCCAUUAGAAAAUGAAAAUACCAAAGGGCUAUUUUUUUUUUAAAAGAUUAUCAGCCUGAUUUCAUAUAAAGUCAUAGAGGCAUGAUAAGGCCUAUGAUCAAAAUUGUAAAGUUUUAUCAAUAUAUAUAUAUAUACAUAUAAAGCAAACUUAAGCUUAAGAUGCUUGGCAGGUUUUGAACAUAUUUCAAACUACUAUGGUUUAAAUUGCCAAACUUGUACAGACCCCUGAUUUAUGAAAUGAAAAUGUCCUUGGAAAUACAUCAUAUAACAAUAUUUCCAUAAAUUAAUUUCUUAACAUAGAUUUUUGAGCUGGACUAAAGAUUCAGAGGUUUGUAUAUGGAAGAUACAUUUUGAUGGUUGGUGGAAUCCAUUGAGCGAUUGACAGUUGGUUUUACACUCUCUCAGUUCCAGUUACCGAGUCUCAACUGUCAACAAUGUGAUGGGGAGUAAGGAAUUAAUUCUUCUGAGAAUGCUCUGUAACCAAAGUGAAACAUUCUCUGUUAAUGAACAUUUGAUUAACGAUUGUAUAUGUCGAAGGGUAUUAAUGCUUUCGUUUGGGUGUUGGGGAUACAUCAAUUCUUCAAAAAAUUGGAAGAGUCAGCUAAGGAAUUGGGCUGACAUUCCUUGUUCCUCUCCUCGUUUUAAUUGUGCUGGACAUCUCCUGGAUGCGAUUGAAGAGGGAAUAUCUUUACCUAGGAAAUUUAUCAUAAUUAUUGUUAUUGACUUUAUCAUAUUCAUUUGCAUACUUAGGGGCGAUUGCUUGGUGCAGUAACACAAUUCUUGGCAUUGCUACUAGAGACAUGGUAUUGAGAGCAGCCAGCUCCAUGUCCAUGCUAUGCUGAAAGAUAGCAUUAUUUCUAAACUCUUCAUCCUAGGAAUCUAGGACUCCACCUUGGUGGUUGGUAGGAGUGGGAUAAUAACUGGUUAAUGACUUUUUCUAUUUUCAUUUCUAGCCUUCUAAAUGGUUAAUGAAUUUCAUUGAUGGGGAAUAAGGAUGGAUCUAAUUUUAUUUCUCUGCCAUCAAAUAUUCCUAAUUUGGAUUUAUUUGCUCUUUCAAGAACUUUUGGAAUGCUAAAUCUUAUCUGAAUUGGUGAUAUUGGAUCAUAAUUUUAUGCCCCUGCAUCCCACAAAACAAUUUUUAAUUCACUUGAACUUUUUCCCAUGUUAUGCAUCUGCAUUUCUAUACAAGGUACUGUCUACUUGGUCAUCCUUUUGUAUUGUUAUAUUUGUGGGAGCUUCUUGAUCUGUUAUAAAGCUGGUUGAUAAAGAACAGUAUAUAGAUUUUUGGGAUCUCUGUCAAUUGUAUUGCUAAGAUUGCCAUUCAAUAUUUUGUUUAGUGUCUAAGACCAAUUCACUAUUUUGUUUGGUGUCUAGCAAGAUUUCUGUUACUUCUGGUCAACAUUCCAGUGUAACUUCACUGGUUCUUAAAAGUAAUUUUCUUUCCUUACUGUUAACUAAUUCAAUUCAUGUUGGUAGAUAGUUUCAUGCCUUCAAGGAGCUAUAAACUACCAAAAACUAGGAGCAAAGUUACCUAGAGGUGUGUUGCUUGUUGGUUCUCUGGGAACAGGGAAAACAUUGCUGGCCUGUGUGGUGGCUGGAGAAGCAGGAGUACCAUUUUUCAGUGUUUCUGCCAGUGAAUUUGUGGAGUUGUUUGUUGGAAGAGGAGCAGCUCGCAUUGGAGAUCUCUUUAAUGCAGCAAGGAAAUGUGCUCCAUCAAUUAUAUUUAUUGAUGAACUUGAUGCAGUUGAAAACGGGGUAAAAGUUUCAAUGAUAAGCAUGACCAAACACUGAAGCAGGCAAUCUAAUAAUUCAACUUCACUGCAUCGUUCAAAUAUAAAUGUUCUAUAUUUUGAGUGACUCCCAGAUUUACUUGGUCUAUUACAUUAAUUUUUAAAGGAGUUCAUUCUACAGAAUAUUAUAUAGUUAUCUGGCAAUACACUAUUGUUGAAAUUAUUGAGUUUUAAUUUGUACUUGAGAAUGGAAGCCUUUUGAAUCAGUUAUGUUUUAUCCUUGCGAAAAAUGUUUAAUCAGUUUUUUUAAUAUUUUCUUCUUCUUUUUUUUUUUUUAACGCGCUAUGUUUUGUCACUCAAAAUCUGGAAAAUUCCUCUAGAUUUUUGGAUGACAAUAAAUUUCUUGUUCUCAUCUGGCUUUUGAAAUCUGUUUCCGCCUUUGCAGUUGCUGACAGAAAUGGGUGGAUUUGAGUAUUGUUGUUGCAGCAGCUAAUAGGCCAGAAGCAUUGGAUCCUGCCUUUUGUAGGCCUGGUCGAUUCUCAAGAAAGGUACUUGUAGGAGAACUUGAUGAAGAAGGAAGGAAAAAUAUCUUGGCCGUAUAUUUAAGAGGAGUUCCCAUUGAAGAAGACAUAGAUCUCAUCUGUGAUCUAGUUGCUUCUCUGACCUCAGGUUUUGUAGGUGCUGAUCUUGCAAACAUCGUCAAUGAAGCUGCUUUACUUGCUGCUCAAAGAUGUGGUGAUACUGUGACAAGGGAAGAUAAAGUGGAAACUCUUGAAAGAGCAAAGUUUGGGAUCAAUAAUAGGCAUCUGAAGCCCAAUGCAAUUAGCAAGGAGCUAGGGAAACUGUUCCUGAGGAUACCAUGUUUGCUGGGAAGGAAUGACGCAGGACAAGAUGGUUUGCAAGGGCAUCUGGGUACCAAACUCUGAGCUGACCUAGUAUGUUGGCUUUCUUCGUACUUUCACUGUGAUUCAUGAUUAUUCUUUAUGUCAUUAGACUCAAUUUCCACUUAUCCCUUCCCUUUGUAAUAUCAAUUUUGUGGGUUUAUCGGCCAUUAUAUUCUUCACAUCCUUCUACAGUCCGAAUGUUUGAAAAGUUUUUAUUUCUAUUGGUCAAACUUCCAGAGAUAUAUUUAGUGCAACUACUGCAGGUUUUUUUGGUGUUCACACCAUGGAUGCAGGAAUCAGCUUCUAAAUAUUUGCUCAAAGCUAUUGGCUCUAUUCUUAUUCAAUAUCUCUUAUAAUAAGAAUGAGCACAAUUGAGCUCUUUCAUAAGUUAAUUACAUCAUUCUCAUUUUAUUGAUUAAUGUGAUCAAAGCUAAGAGGGCAUGGAAGACUGCUUCUUGGCUGCUUUGGUUUCAAGAAUCAACGCUGAGCGGUGUUGCGGGUA
rnacentral:misc_RNA from 1 species